rnacentral:rRNA from 1 species
UACAGAGGUCUCAAGCGUUGUUCGGAUUCAUUGGGCGUAAAGGGAGCGUAGGUGGCGGGGUUAGUCAGGUGUGAAAUCUCGGGGCUCAACCCCGAAACUGCACUUGAUACUGCCUUGCUAGAGUACUGGAGAGGAGAUUGGAAUUUACGGUGUAGCAGUGAAAUGCGUAGAUAUCAGGAGGAACACCAAUUGCGAAGGCAGCUCGCUGGGACGUAACUGACGCUGAGACGCGAAAGCGUGGGGAGCAAACAGG